UACGUAGGGUGCAAGCGUUAAUCGGAAUUACUGGGCGUAAAGCGUGCGCAGGCGGUGAUGUAAGACGGUUGUGAAAUCCCCGGGCUUAACCUGGGAAUGGCAUUUGGGACUGCAAGGCUUGAGUGCGGCAGAGGAGACUGGAAUUCCUGGUGUAGCAGUGAAAUGCGUAGAUAUCAGGAGGAACACCGAUGGCGAAGGCAGGUCUCUGGGCUGACACUGACGCUCAUGCACGAAAGCGUGGGGAGCAAACAGG
rnacentral:rRNA from 1 species